UACGAAGGGGGCUAGCGUUGCUCGGAAUCACUGGGCGUAAAGCGCACGUAGGCGGAUUGUUAAGUCAGGGGUGAAAUCCUGGAGCUCAACUCCAGAACUGCCUUUGAUACUGGCGAUCUCGAGUCCGGGAGAGGUGAGUGGAACUGCGAGUGUAGAGGUGAAAUUCGUAGAUAUUCGCAAGAACACCAGUGGCGAAGGCGGCUCACUGGCCCGGUACUGACGCUGAUGCGCGAAAGCGUGGGUAGCAAACGGG
rnacentral:rRNA from 1 species